CACCACUCAAGCCUGGCUUGGUAUUGGGCGUCGCGGGUCCCCGCGCGCCUCAAAGUCUCCGGCUGAGCUGUCCGUCUCCUAGCGUUGUGAUACAUAUUCGCUACGGGUGUCGGGCGGCCGCGGCCGUUAAACUCUUUCAAA
rnacentral:misc_RNA from 1 species